GAUGAACGCUGGCGGCGUGCCUAAUACAUGCAAGUCGAGCGAACAGACGAGGAGCUUGCUCCUCUGACGUUAGCGGCGGACGGGUGAGUAACACGUGGAUAACCUACCUAUAAGACUGGGAUAACUUCGGGAAACCGGAGCUAAUACCGGAUAAUAUAUUGAACCGCAUGGUUCAAUAGUGAAAGACGGUUUUGCUGUCACUUAUAGAUGGAUCCGCGCCGCAUUAGCUAGUUGGUAAGGUAACGGCUUACCAAGGCGACGAUGCGUAGCCGACCUGAGAGGGUGAUCGGCCACACUGGAACGGUGACACGGUCCAUACUCCUACGGGAGGCAGCAGUAGGGAAUCUUCCGCAAUGGGCGAAAGCCUGACGGAGCAACGCCGCGUGAGUUAUGAAGGUCUUCGGAUCGUAAAACUCUGUUAUUAGGGAAGAACAAAUGUGUAAGUAACUAUGCACGUCUUGACGGUACCUAAUCAGAAAGCCACGGCUAACUACGUG
rnacentral:rRNA from 1 species